rnacentral:rRNA from 1 species
CCGGCGAUGUCCGAAUGGGGAAACCCAGUGCAAUUCGUUGCACUAUCGUUAACUGAAUACAUAGGUUAACGAGGCGAACCGGGGGAACUGAAACAUCUAAGUACCCCGAGGAAAAGAAAUCAACCGAGAUUCCCCCAGUAGCGGCGAGCGAACGGGGAGCAGCCCAGAGUCUGAAUCAGCUUGUGUGUUAGUGGAACGGUCUGGAAAGUCCGACGGUACAGGGUGAUAGUCCCGUACACCAAAAUGCACAGGUUGUGAACUCGAAGAGUAGGGCGGGACACGUGGUAUCCUGUCUGAAUAUGGGGGGACCAUCCUCCAAGGCUAAAUACUCCUGACUGACCGAUAGUGAACCAGUACCGUGAGGGAAAGGCGAAAAGAACCCCGGCGAGGGGAGUGAAAAAGAACCUGAAACCGUGUACGUACAAGCAGUGGGAGCACCUUCGGGUGUGACUGCGUACCUUUUGUAUAAUGGGUCAGCGACUUAUAUUCUGUAGCAAGGUUAACCGUAUAGGGGAGCCGCAGGGAAACCGAGUCUUAACUGGGCGUUAAGUUGCAGGGUAUAGACCCGAAACCCGGUGAUCUAGCCAUGGGCAGGUUGAAGGUUGGGUAACACUAACUGGAGGACCGAACCGACUAAUGUUGAAAAAUUAGCGGAUGACUUGUGGCUGGGGGUGAAAGGCCAAUCAAACCGGGAGAUAGCUGGUUCUCCCCGAAAGCUAUUUAGGUAGCGCCUCGUGAACUCAUCUUCGGGGGUAGAGCACUGUUUCGGCUAGGGGGUCAUCCCGACUUACCAACCCGAUGCAAACUACGAAUACCGAAGAAUGUUAUCACGGGAGACACACGGCGGGUGCUAACGUCCGUCGUGAAGAGGGAAACAACCCAGACCGCCAGCUAAGGUCCCAAAGUCAUGGUUAAGUGGGAAACGAUGUGGGAAGGCACAGACAGCCAGGAUGUUGGCUUAGAAGCAGCCAUCAUUUAAAGAAAGCGUAAUAGCUCACUGGUCGAGUCGGCCUGCGCGGAAGAUGUAACGGGGCUAAACCAUGCACCGAAGCUGCGGCAGCGACGCUUAUGCGUUGUUGGGUAGGGGAGCGUUCUGUAAGCCUGCGAAGGUGGCCUGUGAGGGCUGCUGGAGGUAUCAGAAGUGCGAAUGCUGACAUAAGUAACGAUAAAGCGGGUGAAAAGCCCGCUCGCCGGAAGACCAAGGGUUCCUGUCCAACGUUAAUCGGGGCAGGGUGAGUCGACCCCUAAGGCGAGGCCGAAAGGCGUAGUCGAUGGGAAACAGGUUAAUAUUCCUGUACUUGGUGUUACUGCGAAGGGGGGACGGAGAAGGCUAUGUUAGCCGGGCGACGGUUGUCCCGGUUUAAGCAUGUAGGCGGAGGUUCCAGGUAAAUCCGGUACCUUUUAACGCUGAGGUGUGAUGACGAGGCACUACGGUGCUGAAGUAACAAAUGCCCUGCUUCCAGGAAAAGCCUCUAAGCAUCAGGUAACAUUAAAUCGUACCCCAAACCGACACAGGUGGUCAGGUAGAGAAUACCAAGGCGCUUGAGAGAACUCGGGUGAAGGAACUAGGCAAAAUGGUGCCGUAACUUCGGGAGAAGGCACGCUGGUGUGUAGGUGAAGUCCCUGCGGACGGAGCUGAGACCAGUCGAAGAUACCAGCUGGCUGCAACUGUUUAUUAAAAACACAGCACUGUGCAAACACGAAAGUGGACGUAUACGGUGUGACGCCUGCCCGGUGCCGGAAGGUUAAUUGAUGGGGUUAUCCGUAAGGAGAAGCUCUUGAUCGAAGCCCCGGUAAACGGCGGCCGUAACUAUAACGGUCCUAAGGUAGCGAAAUUCCUUGUCGGGUAAGUUCCGACCUGCACGAAUGGCGUAAUGAUGGCCAGGCUGUCUCCACCCGAGACUCAGUGAAAUUGAACUCGCUGUGAAGAUGCAGUGUACCCGCGGCAAGACGGAAAGACCCCGUGAACCUUUACUAUAGCUUGACACUGAACAUUGAGCCUUGAUGUGUAG